rnacentral:lncRNA from 1 species
GAGGUAUGUAAUGGACUAACUAACGCCAACCCACUAAAGACCCGACAGUUAAUCCAUCAUUUUCUUCCUUAGUCUAUAAGAACCAACCAUGUCAACCAAUAAGAUCGCUCCGUACUCCCUAUGUCUUCUUUGUCUAUCGCUUUGUCCAUCAGUUUCAAUAAUCGCCCCGCUGGGCCGUUCCGCAGCGUCCUCGGGACCAUUGUCAAAUUUCCGGGGAACUCUCCCGAAAUCCGGCGUCGGGGGCGUCGUCCUUCCACUCUUCCUUGGCCGCGCGGAGCGGGGGAGGGGGCAACGCCGCGGCGCCGGGGAAAGGUGAAUCUGCCCGCUCCGGGCUCCGCGGAUAAGAGAUAGUUGUGUUGUGCGUCGAGUGGUUAGCCAGUAAGGCGCCGGUGUUGGAUCAGAGCUAAUCACCAUGCUUCCCACAAUCGUGUUGUACUCCUUGGUUCAGUGUUGGAGUUGCGUCGCUCAGCAGUCCGGCUCUUCCAGAUUGCCGAGUGCUGUUCAGAGUGCAGGGGGAUGGCAUUCGCCUGUGAAACCAAUAGCUGAUAGCGCAACCGUGAGUCAUAAAUUAGCUGACAACACAUACGGAACUAGUAACCCACAAGCAGCUAUGAAAGUUCAAAAUUCGACCAGAGUCGGGGUUGGAUCUUGGCGAGAGAUAAAACUAACCGGACCUGAGCCAGGGAAAUUCUACGAUAGAGAUGGAAGAACUCUGAAACCGUCAUCUGCAUGGAGGCACAUCGCUUCGCCACUUGUUCUUCUUUCUCUUACCUUUGUGCAUCUCUUCUCAUCAUACCUUUAGCAUGCAAAAGUCUAUACUGUAAGGAUAAUGAAAUACAUUUCCCCAAAACCAGAAUUAUCGCUUAUCUGAUAACAACAAUCCGUAUUAGAGAAAGAAAAGAAACAAUCUGAUUUACAUUCUUCAGACAUUUUUAAAAGUCAACACCUUUUUGAUUUUCAUAAAAUACGAUAUUACUUAUGGGGACCAUACUGGAAUUUAGCAUCCCAUUUCAGACAGUUUUCCAAAAACCAAGGGGAAAAAGUGCAGUAAAAUUACGGUGCAAUGUACCCGAUUACUGAAAAAAGCUAAGGAAAUUAUGACCCUACAAUUAAUUUUACGGGGGCUGACAGCAAAUCGGUUCCUUCAGGUUGCAUUUUUUAAAAUUCAAUGCAAAUUAAUAAUCUCUUUAAUUCAUACGAAUUCCGUUGGAAGAACUUUGUGGAACUUACUGCUAGGGUAAUUUUCCAUGGUAUUCUCGAAAGAGAUUUUACGAAAAAAUUGUGUGCUAUGAUGGCAAAUUUUUUUCAGUUUAACAUUGCACAAAAUAAUGACACUAAAUUCUCAAAUAAAGGGAAAGGAAACUGAGAAUCCACCUUCAAAUUUUGAUCAUUCGAAAAUUGAUUUUUACCAAAAAAAGUUUCGUUUCAAAUUGUUUAAUGUCCUUUAAAACCACCUAUCAGUCACUUUUUAUUGCACGAAUCACAAAUGAUGGUAUAAAAAUUGAUCUCUUUAGAAUGUUUGCAACGCCAAAAAAAGUGUAUGUUUUUUCAAGACAUUUCGAACAAAAUAAAUUGGAUGUUUGUCAUCUAAACUUAAACUCAGAAACCAAAAUCAUGGUCCUACAGAUUUAUUGCCGUAUCAAUAAUAUUUAUAGGUCACCAAAAAUUCGUAGGAACUAUUGCCCUGAGUUUGGUAUAGUGUACAACAUUAACUUGGUAAUGACCUGCACUCCUAUAAAUGAAUUUUACCUAAAUAUCCAGGUACCACUCCUCAACUCAUUUUCAUUGACAAUAUGAGCCGUUAUGUUUUCCUAUGUUGUGUAAGCCAUUGUGUGGUUUGAAUGAGAUUAAUGAGAGUCGUGAAGAAAAUUUUUUUUUGAUUGACCGCUGAAAUUUUCGCGGUAAUUUGUACUUAGGCAGGACAAUCUUCAGGGUGCAUAUCCAUCACUUUGAUGAUAGACUAUACAUUCAAUCCCAACGAAAAUUCGAAGAUUAAGUUCAGCAGUCUUCAAAUUUUUACCAUGUACUUAGUGAAAGAACACCGUAAAUUAUUUUGUUUUAAAACUCCAAAAAUAAAACUUAAAAAAAGUCUAUUCUAGUCAUAGGUAUUCAUGGAUGCGUCAUAAAAAUUUCUAAAAAAAAUCCCUUAAAGUAUCGACAGUUAAAUUAUAUUAUCAUUGUAGUUAUGAAGGUGACAUUACCAAUCAUCUGGAAAAAAUAUACCUCAUAUUAAUUAAUUAUCAUAUUAUCAUAUCAAUUUAAUUAUUUACCUAUCAUUUCUGUUUAAUUUAUCCGUUUGUUUUCCACUUUAUUUUGUUUGAAGUUUUUCAAACAAUCCUAUUUUAAAAUUUUAAAAAAUUCUAAAAAAAUGAUCUGACAUCAAAGUUGGGAGGAAUGUCCUCUCAACCUUCAUUUUUCACCACUGCGUGCCUUCAGCACCUUGAAUCAUAUCUUAGACUUGCUUUUAUUACUCAAGUCUUUAAAGUUGAUGUCUCAAGAAAAAGUUUUGAACUUUCUUACUACCGCAGUUUCAAUUGAAUGGGACCAAAAAGUAUCUCUUUUCAAGAACUAAUCGAUGCCAAACAAUUGUAAGCAUUUCAAGAUAAAUGUACACUACAGUGAAGUUCUUCAAUUAAAACGCGAUGUACUAAACUUUAACUCACUCUAUUUAGCAUCAAGUAUAAAUUUCUACGUAUUCAACACUUGUAGUCAGUGAUAGUCUUCCCAAUUUUCCUGCCUGUAUAUGUAUAUGUACAAGUUUUUCAAGAGUGUGUUUAUAAGAGAAACUUAAAAUAAGACUCGAUAAUAAAAAUGCUUCGAGUUUAGUAGGCUUGCGUAUGGAUUCUUAUAAUGUUUUUAGUCAUGCCCCAAAAUUGGAGAAAAAUUCAGUUACACUCAGAUAAGAAAAAAAUUAUUUAUAUACGUGCAAGAAAAAAGUAUUCCUCCGAUUUAAAUAAUUAUUUUGAAUGUAAAUAAUUAAUGAUAGAUGAUAGAUAAAACGAAUAUCUAGGAAUCAAAGUUCAAACUUGAAGAUCUUAAUCAAUUUUAGUGAUUUAGUGGAUUAGCAGUAUGUUGUAUAAAGCGAUGGUUCAUAAUGCGAUGAUUGCGUAUCCAAGUUGAAAUAAAUUUAAUAACUUCCGAUUAUGUUUCAUAUUCUUCAAAGAUUAGUGAUCAAGCCGAUUUUUUGUAGUAUGGAAAGAUUUUUUUUUUAAGAUGAGGGAGGAAAAUUAAGAGAUAAUUUCAACAGGAACUGACGGUUUGGUUUCCUAAAGAUAAUAACAUUGCAAAGUCGCAAUCAGAGAUAGGCAUUCUUUGCAUUCAGCCAUCAAAAUGCAUUGAAUUGUCGUUGGUCUAGUAUUUCUAGAGUAUUGGCAACAUAAUGAAAAAAGGAGUAUAUUGUCAAUCUGUGUAAAAUAGUUUCUCUAUUGACACUGGUAUAUUUUCAAUAUCAGUAGAACUCGGCAAUCGGCUUUCUGGUAACAAGAAUGGAGGGGGACGGGAAUAAAGCGCAAGGAUUAUAGCCCUUGCGGGCUAUUUGAAGUGGUAAAAAAAAAAAAAAAAUAAAAAAAAAUAAUAAUCCUGAGUUUCAGCUUAAUUUUGGAAUGUUUGAUGUAAAACUAUCUUCACUGCAAAUAUAUAUGACUUAUUGAAAAGAACUUUUUCUGAAAGGAAAAGACUAAAGUGAGAAGUUUGUGUCAAGAAAUCCGACUGAAGUUAAUACAUUCAAUCACAUCACAGGUUUCUGUUAGUUUCAGCAGUUAGUUGCCAGGACAAUCGGUUAAAAAAAUAUUACCGCGGAAAUCGCAAAGUGCUUCCUCCUUGUGAUGAAUCUCGCAGACGCUUACUAUUAUAAGAAACAACUUUGCACACGAUAGUUAUUAUAUUACUUGUUAUAUGGUAUUUUGUAAUUAAAAAAAUCAAGUUUUACUUCUGUCUCACAUUUUUUUGUAACACUUGAUAUUUGAAAUUGAUUUGAUUAUUUUCUGUGACGUUGAAAAGUGAUAGCUUUAUUAUGUUACUUGUUAUACAAUAUAUUUAAAUUAAACAUAUUGCGUUUGAACUCUGCCUUAUAUUUUCAUUAAAAUUUGACAAGUGCUUUAUUUGAUCAUAUUCUGAGCUAUGGGAAAGAGAGCUUUACAGUGGCGUGGCGUGCUUUGCGAUUUAUCGAUUGUCCUGUCAUUUGAAGCUAUGGUAAAGAAUCGAUUACUAAGGUGUUCGCUGCGAACACCCUGUUUAUCGAUCCUUUUCCAUAGGUUUAAAUUGCACAAUAAUCGAUAUAUCGCAAAGCACGCCACGUCAAGCGAAGUGCAUUUGUCACUUUGUUCUCAUAGCGCACUCCUGUAAAAAGUCGCAUUGUGCACAUUUUACUCCAUUGAAGUUGAAAUUUUGUUUAUUGUUGGAGCUUUCACAUUUUUCCGAGUUUUUACGGAAACACUUCAGAUCUAAAAGAUCAAAUAGUACUUUGAAAAACCAUUUCACAACCUACACAAGCCAAUCUUUUCUCCAAGCGGACUACUUUCUAUUAUUCUUCUGCUUAGGAUAGCCUAUGAGCAAUCCCGCACCCAAAGCUGAUCAUUUGGGCGUGAUUGUGCUAAAAGGUA